GACAGAGGGUGCAAACGUUGUUCGGAUUUACUGGGCGUAAAGCGCGUGUAGGCGGCUUUGCAAGUCGGAUGUGAAAGCCCACGACUCAACCGUGGAAGUGCAUCCGAAACUGCAUGGCUUGAGUCUCGGAGAGGAAGGUGGAAUGCUUGGUGUAGAGGUGAAAUUCGUAGAUAUCAAGCAGAACACCUGCGGCGAAGGCGGCCUUCUGGACGAUGACUGACGCUGAGACGCGAAAGCGUGGGGAGCAAACAGG
rnacentral:rRNA from 1 species